rnacentral:rRNA from 1 species
AUGAACGCUGGCGGCGUGCCUAAUACAUGCAAGUCGCGCGAACAGACGAGGAGCUUGCUCCUCUGACGUUAGCGGCGGACGGGUGAGUAACACGUGGAUAACCUACCUAUAAGCCUGGGAUAACUUCGGGAAACCGGAGCUAAUACCGGAUAAUAUAUUGAACCGCAUGUUUCAAUAGUGAAAGACGGUUUUGCUGUCACUUAUAGAUGGAUCCGCGCCGCAUUAGACAGUUGGUAAGGUAACGGCUUACCAAGGCAACGAUGCGUAGCCGACCUGAGAGGGUGAUCGGCCACACUGGAACUGAGACACGGCCCAGACUCCUACGGGAGGCAGCAGUAGGGAAUCUUCCGCAAUGGGCGAAAGCCUGACGGAGCAACGCCGCGUGAGUGAUGAAGGUCUUCGGAUCGUAAAACUCUGUUAUUAGGGAAGAACAAAUGUGUAAGUAACUAUGCACGUCUUGACGGUACCUAAUCAGAAAGCCACGGCUAACUACGUG